AUUGAACGCUGGCGGCAGGCCUAACACAUGCAAGUCGAACGAGUGGCGGACGGGUGAGUAAUGUCUGGGAAACUGCCCGAUGGAGGGGGAUAACUACUGGAAACGGUAGCUAAUACCGCAUACCAUCGGAUGUGCCCAGAUGGGAUUAGCUAGUAGGUGGGGUAACGGCUCACCUAGGCGACGAUCCCUAGCUGGGCUGAGAGGAUGACCAGCCAAACUGGAACUGAGACACGGUCCAGACGCCUACGGGAGGCAGCAGUGGGGAAUAUUGCACAAUGGGCGCAAGCCUGAUGCAGCCAUGCCGCGUGUAUGAAGAAGGCCUUCGGGUUGGAAAGUACUGUCAGCGAGGAGGCGUUACCCGCAGAAGAAGCACCGGCUAACUCCGUGCCAGCCGCCGCGGUAAUAC
rnacentral:rRNA from 1 species